rnacentral:rRNA from 1 species
GUCGAGGGGCAUCGGGGCGAGGAGCAAUCCUUGCCGCCGGCGACCGGCGCACGGGUGAGUAACGCGUAUGCGACCUGCCCGUUGCAGGGGGAUAAUCGGGAGAAAUCCCGUCUAAUACCGCGUAACGCCGCGGGGCUGCAUGGCCCUGCGGCCAAAGGAAGCGAUUCCGGCAACGGAUGGGCAUGCGUGACAUUAGCUAGUUGGCGGGGCAACGGCCCACCAAGGCGACGAUGUCUAGGGGUUCUGAGAGGAAGGUCCCCCACACUGGUACUGAGACACGGACCAGACUCCUACGGGAGGCAGCAGUGAGGAAUAUUGGUCAAUGGGCGCGAGCCUGAACCAGCCAAGUCGCGUGAGGGAUGACGGCCCUACGGGUUGUAAACCUCUUUUGUCGGGGAGCAAAUUCCGCCACGCGUGGCGGAGUCGAGAGUACCCGAAGAAAAAGCAUCGGCUAACUCCGUGCCAGCAGCCGCGGUAAUACGGAGGAUGCGAGCGUUAUCCGGAUUUAUUGGGUU